rnacentral:misc_RNA from 1 species
GCCGACAGGACUCGGGCUAUGCGGUGAAGGACGAAUCGGAUUCCCGCCACAUCUAGGCGAUGCCCAACGCCAGUUGAUCUGCCCCGCCCACCUUAUGGUGCUACCCCUCCUCGCAGCCGGGAACGCUUCCGCUGGCGACCGCGGGCAGAGGGACACCCGCUCCGUCGUCCUCCCCCCCGGGCGACGGCGGAGCUUGGUUUCGCUCCGGCUGCCGGGCUGGCUGAUGGUCCUCCUCGCUCUCCCCUCGCUAGCGAUGCCGCGCGCCGCUGCGGCGCCCGUGGCCGCCGGGCGCGCCCUGGAGAAUCGGUUGCUCGUCGAGAUGGCCGUCAAGGGCACCAACGUCGCGAUGCUCUACCGCCUCGGAGACAUCUGCCAUGAGGCCGGCGCCAACGGAGACAAAAAGGCCGUCGAACGCGCCGAGGGGUACAUCCUGCGACUGCUGGCGAUCGAGUCCACCAACGCCCCCGCACUGGCCCUCCUCGGCUCCAUCCACACCAUGAAGGGCCGGGACGCCUUCUGGCCGACCACCCAACUGCGCCUGGUCCGUGAAGGCAACGACUACAUGGACCAGGCCGUGCAGCUUGCUCCGCACGACAUCCGCACGCGGAUCACCCGGGCCUUCAAUAAUGCGCACAUGCCCGAUUUCCUGGGCCGCACGGAGAUCGUCCGGGCCGACCUCAUCUGGCUCACGGAGCAGGCCGACAAGACACCGGACCGGUUCACCCUCAACGAGCGCCAGGAGAUCGCCUUGCACUGGGGUAGGCAGCUCAAGCGGCUGAACCGUCCCCAGGAAGCGCGGAAACUCUGGGAAACCGCCCUCGCCCUCGCCCCCGACUCAAAGCACGCCACCGAACUCGCCACCGAACUGUCGAAACUCCGGUGAAUCAAACCCGUCACCGCCAUCGACCACCGCCCGCUGACCGGCCAUCCUGCGCCCCGCAAUUAGCCGACCUCCGCCCCGUGCCCAAGACCGCCCCAACGGCCAGCCGCGAGAAAACGGUCCCCCCCCCCUGGCGCUCGGACCUCGCCGAGAUCCUGAUCACCGAAGCGGCAAUCGCCCGCCGCGUGCGAGAACUCGCCAAAGAGAUCCUCCGCGACUUCGCCGGCCGCGAUACCGUCGUGGUGGCCGUCCUCAACGGCACCCUGAUGUUCCUGGCCGACCUCAUCCGCCAUCUCCCCCUCCCGCUCCGGGUCGACUCCAUCGGCGUCUCCAGCUACGGCAACGGAACCGUGUCCGGCGAGUUGACCUUCACCAAACCGCCAGGCCUGGAUCUGCGCGGCAGUGACGUGCUGGUCGUCGACGACAUCCUCGACACCGGCAGGACCCUCCACCGGGUGGUCACCCAUCUGCGCCAGCUCAAGCCGCGUCGGCUGCGGAUCUGCGUGCUGCUCGGAAAGCAGUCGUGCCGCCAGGUCAGAAUCCGGGCCGACUACACGGGGUUCGCGAUCCCGGACGUAUUCGUGGUCGGGUACGGCCUCGAUUUCGCCGAGCGCUAUCGCAACCUGCCGUUCAUCGGGGUGCUGAAACCCGAGAUCGUCCAGCCCGGGCUCACUCAGCAAGCCCCAUCCCGGCCCGCCGCUGCGGCGCGCGCGACCCGACGCUUCUGAACCCGGGAACGCGCGCGGCCCAUGAGGCCCUUCGCCCAUGCCGCCUCUCGCAUCACCCUGCCCACCUUGAUGAACCCGUCCACCGCCACCGCCACCAUCCUCGUCCGCUACUGGUCGUGGUUCCGCGACCUCGCCGGCACCGACCACGAGUUGUUUCCGGUGACCACGGGGGCGACCCUCGGUGACCUGCUGGCCCAAGUUCACCACCGGCAUCCGCGACUGGCGGAAGUACGCCGCUCCACUCUCCUGGCCGUCGGCCUCGACUACCAACCCUUGACCCACCCACUCACCGACGGUGA